CAUUCAUCGUCAAAAUAUUUAACAUGGCUUCUCAAAAGUCGACUUUUACAAUCAUCUUUUUGUUAAUGAUAGUUGAUGGUUAGCAUAUCUUCCUGUAAUGUGUUAAUUAUGAGCUUCCUUUCCUUUAUUUAAGUAGCAAAUUUUAUUAGACUUAUAAAUAUAAUGGUUUUUAUAGAUUAUUCAAAUAACAUAAUAAGGUUUUAAAAAUAAACUUUGUAUCAUGUGUUUUUUAUUUUAUAAUUCUUGUACUAUUUUAUGGAACGACCUGAAAGUAUUGACGUUCUAUUUAUUUCAACUAAAAGUACUAUUAAUUGGCAAAUUUACCAUUAAAUUAAAAAUUUGGUAAAGUAUUAUAUAUAUAUAUAUAUAUAUAUAUGGGUUCGGUUCUAGUGAGAUCCACAAUUUUCGUGAGAACAUGAGAACCAAUUAAAAUUACUGCAUCUGUUAUAACAAAUUAAUGUAUCCACUAUUAAAUUUACUGCAUUCAAAAAAAAUAAUUUUUUGAUUCCUUCAAGAUUCGAACCCAUGUUCUUCAUUUAUCCACCAAGAUGAUGCAUCNGGUUCUAGUGAGAACCACAAUUUUCGUGAGAACAUGAGAACCAUUAAAAUUACUGCACUGUUAUACAAAUUAAUGCAUCCGCUAUUAAAUUUACUGCAUUCGAAAAAAAUAAUUUUUUGCUUCCUUCAAGAUUCGAACCCAGGUUCUUCAUUUAUCCACCAAGAUGAUGCAUCCACCGUAGAUCUUAAUGAUCGAAUGGCUUAAAAUGGUUCUCCGUUAUUAUUUUAUUUAGUGGUUCUUCUUUGAACCUCUCCAUAUAUAUAUAUAUAUAUUCUAACAUACAGACUUCAAUCUUGAAAUUAUAUUCUUUACUUGUUGUUUUGAGUUUUGUGUAUUUGAUGUUUUUCUCUUUUGGAUAAAUGCAGUAAAAAUAUCAUUAGCGAAAUGCGUGUUGCGUGAGGACUGUAAAAUUAGAUGCAAUAAGGGUUCUCCAUUAUGUCAGGAUGGCGUUUGCAUUUGUCUCGACGAGCGAAAACCUACCUUCAGCGAUUAU
rnacentral:lncRNA from 1 species